rnacentral:tRNA from 1 species
GAGCCUGUGGCUCAAAGAAGUAGGGUGCUGGUCUUAUAUGCCAGAGGUGGUGGGUUGAAACCCAGCCUCA